AUUAGAAACUGUGAUUGUUCUGUUCACACUGUGGCUAUGAUACUGUAGUUUUACAGAGAAGUCAUGGCUACAUAAGAUCUAUUGUGUAAGUACAGGAGAUGGACAGGUGUACGUUGUGUACAUGUUUAACAAAUAAUUACAAAGUGCUUUACUUACUCCUCAGUUGAGAAAGUAACACUGACCGCUAGUGGUUUGUGUAUGUUUAUUUAGAACCUGGAGACCUGACACAUCUCCAUCUUUAGUUUUGUUUUGAUCUGUCAUCUUAAUCAUCUCUAAAUGGUAUUGACAUUUUUCUGUGCAUAAGAAAAAUAGAGGCAACUCAAGCAAUAAGGCACUUCAUGGGUGGGGGUUCAGCUGAAAUGUUUAGUCUUUAUGACAAAUGCCUGAGAGAAAUCAUUUAAAAGAGGAAAAUUCAAAGGUUGUGGUUCAUAAUUAUCUGGCUCCAUUUUUUUUCUGAGCCAGUGGUGAGCCAGAACAUAAUAGAAAUGCAGGGCUGUCCAAAGCUUCACGGCAGUAGAAACCAAAGAAGAGAAAUGAAGGGAGAUGUGUGUGUGUGUGUGUGUGUGUGUGUGUGUGUGUGUGUGCAUGUGCACACAAACAUGUAUAUAAACAUUUCAGAGUUUCUAAUUUGAAAACUAAUGCAUUGCUAUAAUCCUUUGCCCUCUCCCUCAUUUUAACCCCCUCAGAGACAAUAAAGAGUACACAGCAGAGACGAGCAGAAUUUUCAGUGCUCCCAAGAACAGUAAAUGCUUUCAUAUGUGGACUUCCACGGCCACAUGCCAGUGAUUCAACUCGGCUUCCUGUGUGCUGGGCUACUGCUCUGCCCCUGGAUUACAUACCUAGGCUUCUCCCUCUUUUCGUUUUCUACUGCAACAGCCCCCAGAUAUAUUUUCUUGCUAUAUUUCUAAAUGAGAUUCAAUUCUUAAGACCUUUGUAAAUAAAGCCAGGUGUUCCAUCCCA